rfam:Trichobilharzia regenti genome assembly, scaffold: TRE_scaffold0012590
AUCUCGUCUGACGAGUCCCAAUUAGGACGAAAUGCGCAUCCUGGAU